UCAAGUUACAAAGGGCGCAGGGCGGAUGCCUUGGCACCAGGAGCCGAAGAAGGACGUGAUAAGCUGCGAAAAGCUGCGGGGAGGAGCAAAUAUCCAUUGAUCCGCAGGUAUCCGAAUGGGGAAACCCGGCAGAAAGAACUUCUGUCACCGUAUGAUGAAUCCAUAGUCAUACGGAGGGAACCCGGCGAACUGAAACAUCUAAGUAGCCGGAGGAAGAGGAAGAAACAUCGAAUCCCUAAGUAGUGGCGAGCGAAAGGGGACGAAGCCCAAACCAAGGAUUUAUCCUUGGGGUUGAGGACCACGUACGAAGAAGCAGUAGGUAGCAGAACGGUUUUGGGAAAGCCGGCCAUAGAGAGUGAAAGCCUCGUAUGCGAAACAGACUGUGAUUCAGUGGUAUCCGGAGUACUACGGGACACGAGAAACCCCGUAGGAAGCAGGGGGGACCACCCCCCAAGGCGAAAUACUACCUGGUGACCGAUAGAGUAUAGUACCGUGAGGGAAAGGUGAAAAGAACCCCGGGAGGGGAGUGAAAGAGAACCUGAAACCCUGUGUCUACAAGCUGCGGAAGAGCGACUAACGCUCGACCGUGUACUUUUUGUAGAACGGUCCGGCGAGUUGCCGUUGCUGGCAGGUUAAGUACUUAAGGUACGGAGCCGAAGGGAAACCAAGUCUUAACAGGGCGGUAAGUCAGUAACGGCAGACCCGAAACCGGGUGACCUACCCAUGGCCAGGAUGAAGUCUGCGUAAAAGUGGAUGGAGGUCCGAACACACGUCUGUUGAAAAAGGCGGUGAUGAGCUGUGGGUAGCGGAGAAAUUCCAAUCGAACUCGGAGAUAGCUGGUUCUCCCCGAAAUAGCUUUAGGGCUAGCCUCGGUAUAGUCUAAUGGAGGUAGAGCACUGAAUCGCUGCGGGGGCGUCAAAGUCUACCAAUGCGUAUCAAACUCCGAAUGCCAUAUAGAUGUUUACCGGGAGUCAGACUGUAUGAGAUAAGUCGGACAGUCAAAAGGGAAACAGCCCAGACCAUCUGCUAAGGUCCCAAAGUGUAUGUUAAGUGGUAAAGGAUGUGGGGUUUCGAAGACAACUAGGAUGUUGGCUCAGAAGCAGCCAUUCAUUCAAAGAGUGCGUAAUAGCUCACUAGUCGAGAGGUCCUGCGCCGAAAAUGUCCGGGGCUGAAACAUAACACCGAAGCAAUGGAAUAUACCGUAAGGUAUGUUGGUAGGGGAGCAUUGAUAACACGAAGAAGCGGUACCGUAAGGAGCCGUGGAGGGUUAUCAAGAGAGAAUGCCGGAAUGAGUAGCGAGAUGAAGGUGAGAAUCCUUCAGGCCGUAUAUCCAAGGUUUCCAGGGUAAAGCUGAUCUUCCCUGGGGAAGUCGGGACCUAAGCUCAGGCUGAGAAGCGUAGGCGAUGGACAACUGGUUGAUAUUCCAGUACCUCUGGCUGUCAGAAAUGUGGGGACACGGAAAUUCAGGAAGUGCCUGUAAAGGAUUCAGGUGCAAACAUGGUUUAUGCCGGGCAGGCAAAUCCGCCCGGGUAAGUGGACUGUGUGACGCGGACCGAAAUAUAAGUAGGGAAGCUUCUGGGAGAGCCGUCGAGAAAAGCCGCUAUUGUGCAGCCAGAGCCCGUACCGUAAACCGACACAGGUGGAUGGGGAGAGUAUCCCAAGGCCGGCGGGAGAAGCAUUGUUAAGGAACUCGGCAAAAUGGCCCCGUAAGUUCGCGAUAAGGGGUGCCUGUAGAGAUACAGGCCGCAGAGAAUAGGCUCAAGCAACUGUUUAGCAAAAACACAGGUCUAUGCGAAACCGUAAGGUGAUGUAUAUGGGCUGACGCCUGCCCGGUGCUGGAAGGUUACGGGGAGUGCUUAGGAGCAAUCCGAAGGUACGAACUUAAGCCCCAGUAAACGGCGGCCGUAACUAUAACGGUCCUAAGGUAGCGAAAUUCCUUGUCGGGUAAGUUCCGACCCGCACGAAAGGCGUAAUGAUUUGAGCGCUGUCUCAACAAUGCACCCGGUGAAAUUGAAGUACCAGUGAAGAUGCUGGUUACCUGCGCCAGGACGGAAAGACCCCAUGGAGCUUUACUC
rnacentral:rRNA from 1 species